rnacentral:rRNA from 1 species
AUUGAACGCUGGCGGCAUGCCUUACACAUGCAAGUCGAACGGCAGCACAGCAGUAGCAAUACUGUGGGUGGCGAGUGGCGGACGGGUGAGUAAUACAUAGGAAUCUGCCUUGUAGUGGGGGAUAACCCGGGGAAACUCGGGCUAAUACCGCAUAAUCUUUACGAAGCAAAGUGGGGGACCGUAAGGCCUCACGCUAUAAGAUGAGCCUAUGUCGGAUUAGCUAGUUGGUGGGGUAAAGGCCUACCAAGGCAACGAUCCGUAGCUGGUCUGAGAGGAUGAUCAGCCACACUGGGACUGCGACACGGCCCAGACUCCUACGGGAGGCAGCAGUAAGGAAUAUUGGACAAUGGACGCAAGUCUGAUCCAGCCAUGCCGCGUGAAGGAUUAAGGUCCUCUGGAUUGUAAACUUCUUUUAUAAGGGACGAAAAAAGGCUUUUCUAAGUCGUCUGACGGUACCUUAUGAAUAAGCACCGGCUAACUCCGUGCCAGCAGCCGCGGUAAAAC